rnacentral:rRNA from 1 species
UGCAGUCGAGCGCACCUUCGGGUGAGCGGCGGACGGGUUAGUAACGCGUGGGAACAUACCCUUUGGUACGGAAUAGCCUCUGGAAACGGAGAGUAAUACCGUAUGAGCCCUUCGGGGGAAAGAUUUAUCGCCAAAGGAUUGGCCCGCGUUAGAUUAGGUAGUUGGUGGGGUAAUGGCCUACCAAGCCUACGAUCUAUAGCUGGUUUUAGAGGAUGAUCAGCAACACUGGGACUGAGACACGGCCCAGACUCCUACGGGAGGCAGCAGUGGGGAAUCUUGGACAAUGGGGGCAACCCUGAUCCAGCCAUGCCGCGUGAGUGAUGAAGGCCUUAGGGUCGUAAAGCUCUUUCGCCUGUGAAGAUAAUGACGGUAGCAGGUAAAGAAACCCCGGCUAACUCCGUGCCAGCAGCCGCGGUAAUACGGAGGGGGUUAGCGUUGUUCGGAAUUACUGGGCGUAAAGCGCACGUAGGCGGACUGGAAAGUUGGGGGUGAAAUCCCAGGGCUCAACCCUGGAACUGCCUCCAAAACUAUCAGUCUAGAGUUCGAGAGAGGUGAGUGGAAUUCCGAGUGUAGAGGUGAAAUUCGUAGAUAUUCGGAGGAACACCAGUGGCGAAGGCGGCUCACUGGCUCGAUACUGACGCUGAGGUGCGAAAGUGUGGGGAGCAAACAGGAUUAGAUACCCUGGUAGUCCACACCGUAAACGAUGAAUGCCAGUCGUCGGGUAGCAUGCUAUUC